rnacentral:rRNA from 1 species
UAGGGAAUCUUCCACAAUGGGCGAAAGCCUGAUGGAGCACCGCCGCGUGUGUGAUGAAGGGUUUCGGCUCGUAAAACACUGUUGUAAGAGAAGAAUGACAUUGAGAGUAACUGUUCAAUGUGUGACGGUAUCUUACCAGAAAGGAACGGCUAAAUACGUGCCGG